AACUUUGGACUAUGGGUGCAAGCCUGAUCCAGCCAUGCCGCGUGAGUGACGAAGGCUUUCGGGCUGUAAACCUCUUUCGGACGGUAAGCAAUGGCGCAGGCUAAUACCCUGUGCGGGUGACGGUACCGUCAUCAGAAGCACCGCCUAACUACGUGCCAGCAGCCGCGGUAAUACGUAGGGUGCGAGCGUUAAUCGGAAUUACUGGGCGAAAAGAGUGCGCAGGCGGUUGAUUAAGACAGGCGUGAAAUCCCCGGGCUUAACCUGGGAACUGCGCUUGUGACUGGUCAGCUAGAGUACGGCAGAGGGGGGUGGAAUUCCACGUGUAGCAGUGAAAUGCGUAGAGAUGUGGAGGAACACCGAUGGCGAAGGCAGCCCCCUGGGCCGAUACUGACGAUCAUGCACGAAAGCGCGGGUAGCAAACAGG
rnacentral:rRNA from 1 species